CAAAUCAUGGCGAAUCUCGCGUUUUGCGAGGUCUUGCGUCCAUUUUUUCAUAUUUAAAACAUCCACUCUUUAAAAAAUAAAUUUAUCAAUGAUAAAAAUAAGA
rnacentral:misc_RNA from 1 species